CUUAAAUCUCGCAAGGGGGUGACGUGACGCUAAAAAUAGCUCGUCAAUGAGUACUGAGUGACGUAACAAUGGGAAUUCCGGUUUUUAAAAGAGUUGUUGUAGAAACGACGCAUCACUAGAAACUGGGAGAUAUUUUCAUAAAUACCCGAAGUCAGAGAGAUGGGAUCAUGUAUCGCCUCACGACAGCCAUCAUGCACUCUAACAUGGUCGCACUUCGAGCCACACAGAGACUCUUCUUGCUGACAAUAUGUAAAGCAGCAACUUCCGCAAUGUGGCUACUUGCAGUUUUGCCGGGGAUCACUUUAGCGGAGCAUGACAAUGAGGGAUGCGACUGGGGAAUAUAUGGCGAGAACUGCGACAGGACCUGCCCCUCCAACUGUGCCAUUGUCCCACCCAGAAACCUCAGACACUGUCUGAAGCACACAGGGAAAUGUUCUGAGGGAUGUGUUCGUGGUUACCAUGGCGACCAUUGUAACAUAUUCUGCAGCGGAGGCUGUUUAAACGAAACCUGCAAUAACGGAGAUGGACAUUGUACGUUAGGUUGUAAAGAGACGUACAUCGGGGAUUUCUGCAAUGAGACUUCAGGUAUUUUGGCAGUCCCAUCCACAGUCACGACCACGGCAGGCCCCGAUGACAACAAUCUUGCUGCGAUCCUUGUCCCAGUAUUCCUCAUUAUCCUCAUCGUCUGUAUCAUCCUUGCUGUAGUGGUGUUCAGACUGAGAUCGAGGAGAAGGGCAGAAUCGAAAAGAAGAUACCCCAAUAACGAAUACAGUACACCAGAAGCUGCUCCCUUGAAGCCGCACGAUACAGUUCCCUUGAUAGAGAAGCAGCCUGAAGCGGUGCAGCCUGAAGCAGACCCUUCCGAAUCACCAGGAAACGAGGAUACACAUAAGAUUGUUCCCGACACUGACAAGCAGCUGACAGAUCAGCCGUCCAGGGAGAAAGACAUCAGUGACCUGUUCGUGGAAACUGAGGGUUACCGGGAGGUUAAAGACAAACUGGAAACACUUGGCCACGUGACAAUAACUGGUGCCCCGGGAGCAGGUAAAACAUCCAUGGCCCUGAUGCUGGGAGCUGAAUUCAGGAGACAGGGGUAUGAGCUGGUACUGGUUGAGGACGUUGGUACUUUCCAGUUGUCUGAUAUUCUGUCAAAGGACAAAGACAUCUGUGUCAUAUUCGAUGACAUAUUUCAGAACGUUGGGCCAUCAAUGGACGUACAUCGCCUGAGACAAGUUCUGUAUGAGCUCCAUGGACAUCUUGAACCCUGGAAAACCAAGUUGGAAAGAAGAUACAACAUCCUGCAGCAGACACCAGGAACGGAACAAAGAAGAAAAGAUCGUCUGAACUUGUAUUUUAUAUUUACCACAGAUUCCAACAACCUUGAACAAGCAAGGCCAAAACUCAAAGAACCUAUAUUGUUCCAAAACUCUUCAGUAGUAGACCUGACCAACUGGAAGACAGGUGAAGAGAAGAAGGCCAUAUGGUUGAAACAUAAAGAUCAUUCCGACUGUAAAACUGAGGUCAACGUGAACAUAAUCAUAGCAUACGAAAAUAGAACUGGGUUUCCUCUUGCAUGCAAGCUUUUCUCAAGAUAUGCUCCCUUCCAAAAACACAAAGAAUCGUUUUUGGAAAUGCCUGAAUUCCAUCUAAAACAGGAACUGCAUAAGAACAUAAAUCACCUGGACGAUCUGUCAGUAAAGUUACUGUUGAGGUCACUAUGUGGAGGUGAACAGAAUACAAGAACACACCACACUGGAUCUGACAACAAAGUACAAGACACACACCUGAAGGAUGUUUUAGACCUUGUCUCAUGUUCCCAUCCUCUAAUACAAGACAUGUGUAUGUCUGCCAUAUUGGAUACUAAACCAGAGCUGUUCCUCCAUAACUGUAGUUUAAAGUUCAUCUGUGACCAUGUACGUGACCAGCAGCAUGACACCGCUCCAGCAGAACAGACUGUCAUUUAUUUCCCAGGUGCUCACAGUGACGCCAUCACCACCAGACUGGCUGAAGCUGUUGCUGAUGGCACGUUCACUAACUACAUCAAGCAUCCCAUCUGGAAAAGGAAGGAAGUUGCAGACAAAGUGCAUCAAAUGUUUCCAUAUGACGGAACCAAGUCUCAUGAAACAAAGCACUGCAUUCUCCAUUAUGCCUGUUUCCUCGGGAACAACGACAUCAUAGACCGACUCCUCCACCAUUGUGACGUCAACAGACGUGCUGUGAAUGGUUGGACGCCAGUUAUGUUUGCAGUUGCUGGUGGACAGAUGGAUAGUUUGAAAAUUCUAGUGGUUCAUAAAGCUGAUAUCAGACUGUGUGAUGCCAUGAACAAUAACCUGUUCCAUUUGGCUUGUCAAUAUGGAAGCAUUUCACUUCUCCAAUAUGUUGAAAAAAAGCUGAAGAAAAGUAACACUUGUCAUAUCAACAGUCGAGGAGUGAAUGGCUGGACACCAAUUAUGCAUGCAACAGUCGCGGGCAAGAAUGAUAUCUUUGAUUAUCUAGUCAAACAAGGCAAACGUGACUUAACCUUACGGGAUAGCAAUAACAACACUGUUCUUCAUCUGGCAUGUAUGUAUGCCAAUAAAACCAUUGUUAAUUCGUUGUUGCCAUCAACAGACAAAUAUUGUCAAGGGAAUAACGGCAUGACGCCUGUGAUGUGUGCUCUAUUGUCAGGGAGGAUGGAUGUGUUCGACCUCCUCGUGUCACAGAAUGCAGACACGGCAUUGACUGACGAUAAUAACAACAGUCUCCUUCAUUUAGCCUGCCUCCUUGAUGACAUACCCGACAUUCUACUGACAAAGAUUGACGCUGAUAUUCAAGGAAAUCACGGUUGGACACCUCUAAUGAAGGCAGCUAUCAAUGGAUCAAAACAUGCAUUUGACCAGCUGGACAAAGCAAAGACUAAUCUUUACUUGAAAGACGACUACAACAACAAUAUCCUUCACCUGGCAUGUCAUGGUGGACAUGUCUCCAUUGUGAAACAUCUACUGACAGUGUUUGGCAUCGACACCCGUGGGAAUAAAGGAUGGACGCCAGUUAUGUAUGCAGCUGCCAGUGGAGCGAAGGACGUGUUUGACCUGCUUGUGUCACAGGGGGCUGACGUAUCCUUGAAGGAUGACUACAACAACUCUGUAUUUCACUUAGCAUGUGUAGGUGGGAGCCUAUCCAUUGUGAAAUGUCUACUGCCAAAAUCUAAAGUCAAUAGUUCGGAUUAUCUCGGGAGAACUGCAAUUAUGAAAGCUGCUGAGUCAGGGCACAUUCGUGUUUUUGAUUUUCUUGUGUCACAAAAAGUGGAUCUGGAACUGACUGACCACUUCAAUAACACCGUCUUACAUUUUGCAUGUGAGGGCGGGAAUGUAGCCAUUCUUGAACAUUUGCUGACAACAGCUGACCUCAAUGCGAGGGGAACGAAUGGCUGGUCACCAGUUAUCGUAGCAGCUCGAUUUGGAAAGUCAGAUGUUUUCAACUUGCUUGUUUCAAAAGAAGUGGAUCUCACUCUGAAAGACGACCACGGUAACAACAUGCUUCACCUCGCAUGUCAGGGAGGAAACAUGUCGAUCACAGAGCAUCUGCUACCACUGUUUGACAUCAACAGCCGUGGACAGGAUGGCAGGACGCCUGUGAUGUACGCAGCUGAAAACGGAGUGAAGAGCGUGUUUGAUCUGCUUGUCUCAAAGGGAGCUGAUACUUCGCUGAAAGAUGACCACAACAAUUCUGUGUUUCAUUUAGCUUGUUUUGGUGGAAAUAAGUCAAUAGUGGAACAACUACAUCCAAAUGUUGACAUCAACAGUUUGGCAGACAGUGGGAGAACAGCAAUCAUGAAGGCAGCUUCUGCCAGAAACAAAAAUGUUUUUAAUUUUCUGGUCUCAGAGAACGCCGAUCUGAAAGUGAUUGAUGACUACAGAGACAGUGUCCUUCACUUAGCAUGUAAGGGAGGCGAGACGACGAUCGUUCAGUGUGUUCUUCAAAAGCUUGACAUCAAUACCAGGGGAAAGAAGGGUUUGACACCAGCGAUGAUAGCAGCCUCGUUAGGAAACAGACAUCUAUUCAACGUGCUUGUGUCACAGCAAGCAGAUCUCACUCUAACUGACGACCAUGGUAACAACAUGCUUCAUCUCGCCUGUCAAGGAGGAAACAGGUCUAUCAUAGUGCAUCUGUUUCCAGGUGGCAUCCACACUCGUGGACAAGAUGGCAGGACAGCUGUUAUGUACGCAGCCCUGAAUGGAGUGAAGAACGUGUUUGACCUUGUCUCUACGUUAACAGACAUGUCACUUAAGGAUGAUUACAAUUCACCCAUAUUUCACUUGGCUUGUCGUGGUGGAAACACUUCAAUUGUAGAAUACCUCCUACAGCAGAGUGAUAUCAAUCACCGGGGAUUCAACAAUAGGACAGCUUUAAUGGAGGCAGCUUUGGCAGGCAAAACUAAUGUUUUUCGUCUGCUGGUGUCAAAGGAUGCUGAGCUGAAUCUAACCGAUGACUACAAUGAUAACGUUCUACAUUUUGCAUGUCUUGGCGGAGACACAGUCAUUGUGAGGAAUCUUCUGAAGGUUCUGGACAUUAAUGCUAAAGGACGGAAUGGCUGCACACCAGUUAUGCAUGCAGCCUGGGCAGGACAGAGGGAUGUGUUCAGUCUCCUUGUGUCACAAAGCGUUGAGAUGGAGCUGCUGGAUCUCUCCAGGAACAAUUUACUACAUCUUGCUUGUCAGGGAGGAAACACGUCCAUCAUAAAGUAUCUCCUGCCUCUGUUUGACAUCAACAGUCCGGGAGAAGAUGGAUGGACGCCAAUAAUGAUGGCAGCUCUCAGUGGAAAGAUGGAGGCUUAUGACUUGAUUGUAACAACUGGUGGUAUUCCAUCUUUGACUACUCCACAGAAUGAUAAUGUUCUUCACGCAGCUUGUCAAGGUGGGAACAAAGCCAUUGUUAGGAAGGUCAUUGGCAGCUUUGGCAUCAACACAAGGGGUAAGAAUGGUUGCACGCCUCUAAUGAGAGCUGUUGUUGGAGGCCAUAUGAGUAUGAUGAAGUUCCUGAUGUCCCGGAAUGCUGACCAUACUCUGGUGGACAAGGAUGGACUCACUCUUCUACAUCUUGCGUGCAAAUUCGGUCACCUUGACAUUGUGAAGCAUAUCUCAGACAAGUUCAAUAUAGACACUCAAGACAAAGGUGGUUUAACAUGCAUCGUGACAUCAGUGUUACAUGGUAAAGUUGCAGUGUUUGACUACCUGAGAAGUAGAGGCGCUAUUCUGACACUGGUUGACAGUACAGGGGAUGACGCCUUGAACAUUGCCUAUAAAGUGAACUGCAGACAAAUCAUAGAAACACUUAUAUCAGGUGGAGCGUCAGAGAGGAAUGUCAAGCCAUUGGAUCACUUGGUGAGGUCAAUACUGAGGUCUGACGUUUACAAUCUGAAUAUGUACAAGCCAGACACAGCUUAAACUCGGGAGCUAGAGAUACAAAAAUGGUAAAAUAAAUCAAGAAAAUGACACCAUUGAUUAUACCGAUAAAGUCGGUAAAGGGGCUUGUACUUAACUCGAAGUCUGCAGUUACAGACGUCUUUGAUAAGCGGAACAAGAACUUACCUUGAAGGACUACAGUUGAAGGAGCCUGUAGUACAGGAGGCAAGUAUUUAGCUUGAAGGGCAACAGUUAGAAAGUCCCCUCUGAAGGGAGAAGUGUUUUGACUUGAAGGCCUACAUUUAACGACGUCCGUGCUAGAGGACACAAAUACGUAGCUUUAAGGUCUACAGCUGAAGAAAUCAUUGAUAAAGGAGGCAAAUACGUAGCUUGAAGGUCUACAGUUGAAGAAAUCAUUGAUAAAGGAGACAAAUGCGUAGCUUGAAGGACUACAGUUCAAGAAAUCAUUGAUAAAGGAGACAAGUACUUAGCUUGAAGGUCUACAGUUGAACAAAUCAUUGAUAAAGGAGACAAAUACGUAGCUUGAAGGUCUACAGCUGAAGAAAUUUUUGAUAAAGGAGACAAAUACGGAGCUUAAAGGUCUACAGUUGAAGAAAUCAUUGAUAAAGGAGGGAAGUACUUAGCUUGAAGGUCCACAGCUGAAUAAAUCAUUGAUAAAUGAGACAAAUGCGUAGCUUAAAGGUCUACAGCUGAAUAAAUCAUUGAUAAAGGAGGCAAGUACUUAGCUUGAAGGUCUACAGCUGAAGAAAUCUUUGAUAAAUGAGACAAAUACGUAGCAUGAAGGUCUACAGCUGAAAAAGACUUGACUCAUCAAAUGCCAGAGAAGAUAUCAUCAAUCUACUUUGAAGAGGCUGCAAUGAGUGUUUUGUGCAUAAUGUGUGCACAUAAAUAUUAUUCACUGAAUAUAGGUAAUUAAUAUAGUGGACAUUGAAUGUUGUAUCAUAAUGGACAGAAGAGAACUGUUGUAGUCGCUAUGGUGUAAUGUUGUUUUUACUUUCCUGGUUUGUAUGUAUUGGUAUAUUUUCAUGCAGGAGUUAAACAUAUAUAUGCUGUAUGUUUCCCAGUUGUGAAUCAGUUAAGCAUACUUCGGUAGACGUCAAUACUUUUCGUCUGUACGAAUUACACAUUGUGUUAAGGAUUCAAAAUUACGUCUUUAUCAGAUCAAAGGUAUGUGUUUUUGUCAAAUAAUUAAUUUUUAAUAUACCAAUGUUCUGAGUGUCAGCAUUUAAGGGAUGUAUUUUGUGGAAGAGUUCCUAUGAUAUCCAUGUCACAUAAUUACUGCAAAUGAUUACAUCUGUGUGCCAAGAGACAAGAUAGCUGUGACAGGAAACAGAAGGUGAUACCAAAUGCAGCAUCAUGCUAUUUCUCCUGAAUGUUGAAAGAUCAAAAUGUUUCACCUUGGAUAAGGGUCUCUUAUUAAAAACUUUAAAAUCGCGACGCCCACAUAGUCAAACUGAUUAAUCUGACUUUUAACAUGACUGGUGCCCAGAUCAAAUGGCUGAAAGUUUUUCCUUUGGCCGACUCCGUUUUUCCGACUUCCGGGUACUUUAGUUUGUUCAUAUUCUGAGGACCAGUUCAGCUGAAAUUUUCCCAUGCUUGAACGCACUGAUUAUCAGAUAACUGUUUUGUCCCAGAGGUCUGAAUCUGAUUGUCAGUGUUUGCUUAGUGCAAUGCAAAAAUAAUGUUGUCACUCUUUUGUAAUUAUACAGACACAUUUGCUACGAAUGUCAUGAAAUAUUGUACAUUUUUAUUUUGUUUGAAGAAGUUCUCGGUAUAAACUGGCAUUUUCCCAAAUUCUCCCAAAUGCGUUCUAUUAAAGAUGUGCUUUGGGAAGACAGCAAUAACAAACGUUACAGUUUGUCAGGAUCAUCAUCAAAUAUAACUCACUUCCUGGUCAAAACUAAAUUACAGGUCGUUACUGUCUUUAUAUUGGUGAAGAGUAAGAAUCAUUGAUGAAAGGUAUUUAGGAUCAGUUGUGUUUUUUAUGCAGGAGAUGAUAUUUGUGUAUAAAAUGCCCAUGAUCAGGUCAAUUAUAGUUUUAUUCCUGACAGGUAUAUAUUUGGUGCUUUCUGAAUUUUGUUUCCUUAUCCAGUGAUAAACGUAUUUGAAAACCACAACAAACAUCAUCUGUGCCGUCCAUUGAGCAAUAUGUGUAUGCAGGUUUGUAUUUCACUGUACACCUACCGCGUCUAGUAUGUGAUCACACUUCUUCAAGUGGCUUACACUUUUUUUGUUUGAUGAACAUGUUGUUGUUGUUGUUGUUGACCGAUAAGAGUCAUUGAUGGAAGCAUUAGUUUUCAUUUCUAUGCAGGAGAAAAAAUGUGUGUAUAAGAAGAAGUCAGUUUAGUGUCAGUUGCUGCUUUCAGAAGUUUGUUAACAUUCCC